AUCAACUUUCGAUGGUAGGAUAGAGGCCUACCAUGGUGGUAACGGGUAACGGGGUGUUAGGGCACGACACCGGAGAGGGAGCCUGAGAAACGGCUACCACAUCCAAGGAUGGCAGCAGGCGCGCAAAUUACCCAAUCCCGACACGGGGAGGUAGUGACAAUAAAUAACAAUACGGGGUUCUUUCGGAUCUCGUAAUUGGAAUGAGUACAAUUUAAAUCUCUUAACGAGGAACAAUUGGAGGGCAAGUCUGGUGCCAGCAGCCGCGGUAAUUCCAGCUCCAAUAGCGUAUAUUAAAGUUGUUGCAGUUAAAAAGCUCGUAGUUGAAUUUCGGGAUCAAAUUGUUGGUCGUGCUUCGGUACGCACUGGCAUUAUUGGUUCCUACCUUCUGAAGAACCGCGAUGUCAUUAAUUUGGUGUCGUGGGGAAUCAGGACUGUUACUUUGAAAAAAUUAGAGUGUUUAAAGCAGGCUUACGCUUGAAUACAUUAGCAUGGAAUAAUGAAAUAGGACGUUUGAUUCUAUUUUGUUGGUUUCUAGGAUCGACGUAAUGAUUAAUAGGGAUAGUUGGGGGCAUUAGUAUUCAAUUGUCAGAGGUGAAAUUCUUGGAUUUAUUGAAGACUAACUACUGCGAAAGCAUUUGCCAAGGAUGUUUUCAUUAAUCAAGAACGAAAGUUAGGGGAUCGAAGACGAUCAGAUACCGUCGUAGUCUUAACCAUAAACUAUGCCGACUAGGGAUCGGAUGAUGUUAAUUUUUUAAUGACUCAUUCGGCGCCUUACGGGAAACCAAAGUGUUUGGGUUC
rnacentral:rRNA from 1 species